rnacentral:rRNA from 1 species
CCUACGGGUGGCAGCAGUGGGGAAUAUUGCGCAAUGGGCGAAAGCCUGACGCAGCGACGCCGCGUGCGGGAUGAAGGUCUUCGGAUCGUAAACCUCUGUCGGCAGGGAAGAACGGUCACUUUGCUACUCAGCAUUGCCUUGCCGGUACCUGCAAAGGCAGCACCGGCUAACUCCGGGCCAGCAGCCGCGUUAAUACGAAGGGUGCGAGCUUUAAACGGAAUUACGGGCGUAAGGCGCUCGUAGGCGGUAUGUCAAGUCAAGGGUGAAAUCCCCGCGCUCAACGUGGGAACUGCAUUUGAAACUGGCAAACUGGAGUGUGUGAGAGGAGAGUGGAAGUCCAGGUGUAGGAGUGAAAUCCGUAGAUAUCUGGAGGAACAUCAGUGGCGAAGGCGACUAGCUGGAACAUAACUGACGCUGAGGAGCGAAAGCGUGGGUAGCAAACAGGAUUAGAUACCCCAGUAGUC